rnacentral:rRNA from 1 species
UACGUAGGGUGCAAGCGUUAAUCGGAAUUACUGGGCGUAAAGCGUGCGCAGGCGGUUUUGUAAGUCUGACGUGAAAUCCCCGGGCUCAACCUGGGAAUUGCGAUGGAGACUGCAAGGCUAGAAUCUGGCAGAGGGGGGGUAGAAUUCCACGUGUAGCAGUGAAAUGCGUAGAGAUGUGGAGGAACACCGAUGGCGAAGGCAGCCCCUCG